ACUGAACGUUGAAUAAUGCACAGAAGCAACUAAAAUACAAUAAGGAUGCCUAAGAAAGAUCAAGUUGCAUGGAUUGGUAUAUGUGCUAUGCUUGGCUUAUAUUAUCUGCUUUUUAUCUUCAUUUGCCAGCCAGACUUGCAAGUUUGAUCAAAGACAUGAAACCAUCUCCAUAUGCUGCAAUGCACUAUGAACAGAUCUUUGCAACAGUGCUAUUUGAUCUUUGUAGUUUUCUUGUCAUUGAAAAGAGAUCUUCUCUGAACAUUAUGGAUGGAGCAUUCACAAUUCAAGUUGCUGCAUAAGCUUAAUGCAGCACAUAGGAAAUCAUUUGAUCAAAAGACAGAGGAACUUUUACCCAUAAAUUUGCCAUUUCUUCAACUGCCUGUAGACAAGGAGAUUGGGUACGGCGGUACCAUCCACUGUGCCAGUCAACCAGGCGCAGUAGUAUCGUACACUGUCAACCUCGUCUUCUUCGUCAACCAGACCAAUCUGAGCCCUUCGGAUCAAUGAUGAGGUGCUCCAAAAGUACAUGCAGCAGCACCCGGAGUUUGAUGGUGGCUUUUCCCUGCACCUGAUGUGAUGAGCUCACUCUUUGGUGCUCUGCUGUAGCCUUUUCUCUGUCUCUCAUGGACUCCAUGAAUCCAGGACCUUCGACCCAGUCAUGUCACAGAGGAGACGUAUCUUUGAUAGCUAUGACAGAAAACACACAUAAA